rnacentral:rRNA from 1 species
GACGAACGCUGGCGGCGUGCUUAACACAUGCAAGUCGAACGGAAAGGCCCUGCUUUUGUGGGGUGCUCGGGUGGCGACCGGGUGAGUAACACGUGAGUACCCUGCCAUUGACUUUGGGAUAACUUCAGGCAACUGGGGCUAAUACCGGAUAGGAGCUCCUGCUGCAUGGUGGGGGUUGGAAAGUUUCGGCGGUUGGGGAUGGACUCGCGGCCUAUCAGGUUGUUGGUGGGGUAGUGGCUUACCAUGGCUUGGACGGGUAGCCGGCCUGGUAGGGUAACAGGCCACACUACGACUGAGAUACGACACGGACUCCUACGGGAGGCAGCAGUGGAGAAUAGAGUACAAUGGGCUGGAGCCAGAUGCAGCAACGCCGCGUGGGGGAUGACGUCCUGCGGGUUGUGUCCCGCUGCCGCCUGAGACGAAACGUUAGUGACAGUAAUUGGAAAAUAAGCACCGGCUAACUACGUG